rnacentral:rRNA from 1 species
UACGAAGGGGGCUAGCGUUGCUCGGAAUCACUGGGCGUAAAUCGCACGUAGGCGGAUUGUUAAGUCAGGGGUGAAAUCCUGGAGCUCAACUCCAGAACUGCCUUUGAUACUGGCGAUCUUGAGUCCGGGAGAGGUGAGUGGAACUGCGAGUGUAGAGGUGAAAUGUGUAGAUAUCGUAAGGAAGACCAGUGGCGAAGGCGGGUCUCUGGACAGUUCCUGACGCUGAGGCACGAAGGUCAGGGGAGCAAACGGG